AGAGGAAAUAGCGGAGUAAUAACAAGUGUGUGGCAGGAAAUCCCGCUCUGUGGGUGGAGGCUAAUGAAUACAGAGGGAGCAACAUGAGUAGAGUCCCGCUGGCCUAUCAGGCUUCUCAGUUCAGACAGGGGAAAAAAAGACUGCACCAAUCAAAGCGCACUCUUGGUAAGAGGAGAGAUGCAGGACAAGAUGAGGAGACUGACAGAAAAGAAAGAGAGAAGUUUUCUGUGCACUGGGGGAAUGCUCUUUCAUAUCUGAAGCACCUAAUUCAUUGGACAGCUUCCAUGAUUCUACUUCCUGCUGGGGACUAAGCACCAAAGUCAAUUCCUCCUGUUCCCAAUAAGACUAAGUUCAUUCUAAUUUACUCAUUCUCACUCGUUUCAUUGUAAGUCUCCCCUGAUUGAAAUACACUUAAUUCACUUAAUAAGCCAAAAUACAGUGGCUUAGUGAAAGAAACAGAAAGUGUCACAAGCAUUUUACUGCCUCUGUUUCAUGGUCCUGCCAUUGUGGACUCUUGCUAAGUGUCUGUCACACAGGAGAUUUUCCAUCCACAUUACAUACAUUUAAACAUUCAAUUUGUGUAUCAAGAAUUCUGAGUGGAAAUUUGAAGCAAAUCUCAAAAAUAUCACAAACGUGUUUUUAUGCUUUAAUGGAAAAGACAAACUGAACAUAUCAUGACUUAGACAAAAACAUAUGACUUAAACAUCCAUUGAAGUGUCUGCUGUGUGGAAUAAUGAGGGCAACUUUCCUCAGAUUACUUGAAACUGCAAGAGCUGCCAUAUUUCAUUAUGUUUUACAAACUGUUGUUCACCAUUUGACCAUGAUGCUAAUUCAUCUUGUUUUGCUUUCUUCUUCUACAAUGUUUAAAUGGCAUCUGAAUGGAAAAUUAGUGCCACAAAGUGCAUCGACGAAUGACCAGUCUACCACCAACUAUAAACCAACUCUUAAAAAUCACACUAUAAGGUCUCAUCCUUACUAUGUAAAGUGCCUUGAGAUAAUGUAUAUUGUAAUUUGGAUUAUUCAAAUAGAUUGAACUGAAUUGAAUUGAACUGA